rnacentral:rRNA from 1 species
AUAGCGUAUAUUAAAGUUGUUGCAGUUAAAACGCCCGUAGUCGAACUUCAGGAAGAUUAAAUUUAUUUUUAAUCAACCUUUACCUCUAUCUGAUUUAGGUUAUUAAUUUAAUUUAAAUCAUUAAAGAUAGAAUGUUUACUUUGAAAAAAUUAGAGUGUUCAAAGCAAAUUUUUAUGAAUACAUUAGCAUGGAAUAAUGGAAUAAGUCAGCAACUUAUUUCGUUGGUUUAGAGUUGCAAACAUGAUGAAUAGGGAUGAUUGGGGCCAUUAGUAUUUAAUAGUCAGAGGUGAAAUUCUUGGAUUUAUUAAAGACUAACUUAUG